rnacentral:snoRNA from 1 species
AAGACUAUACUUUCAGAGAUCAUUUCUAAAGUUGCUACCUUGAAAAAUGUGUUUCUAAAGUGUUUGGUCUCGCUCACCACGAUGAUGAGUCAUGAUGUUCUUUUCUGAGCGUGAAGCUGACAGAGAAUAAUGGUUUGCUUCAUGUCCUCUCUGUCGUUGGUGACCGUUUUUUACUUCUUAGAGAAUAUGAUCGGAGUGGU